rnacentral:lncRNA from 1 species
AUUUUUUCAAUAUAAAGAAUAUAGUCUUAGUUGCUGAAUUAAAAGCUCUGACAGAGUAAAGUUCAGAAGAGAUAGCUACCUAUGGUGACAUUUAAAUUCAUCAAUAUCUUGAAAGGUAUUUUUUUGAUGAGUUAAAUAUUAGAUUGAUAUUAAGUUAUUAUUUUUUAAUUAAAACUUACCAUGUUUUAUUCACAGUCAAGUUACCCCUUGUAGUUUAAACAAACAAACAAACAAACAAACAUAUCUAUACCCAGUCCCAGACAUUCAUUUUCCAGUGCCUUGGCCCAUCAGACUCUCUUUCUGAGCUGCUCAUCAGUCCUCCCCAAUCCAGCACCAAAUCAAAGUAUCAGCUCCUGGUUUCCAAGGAUACCCAAGAUCAUCCCUAUGAUACCUUAGAGACAGUUUCAUGAUUUGAUUUAAAGCAUUUUCUUCCACAGACACUGAGACAAUUGGGGUUCAACUGUGAGUCAGCUUCUGCAUCUAAAACCAAUUGCACUUACAAUGUGAAUAAGAAAUAAAUAAACAACCCCUCACAGUUAAGGUUUAAAAUUGUUCUAGCUUGCUUCUCUGUUAGGUGAUAGAACCCUCAAUAAAAGCAACUUAGGAGAAGGAAGGGUUUAUCUGACUUACAGGUGACAGACCAUCAUCUAAUAAAGCCUAGACAGGAACCUGGAGACAGGACUGAAGUAAAACAGAAGCAGAUGCCAGGGAAAUCCCUGAUUUUUUUUUUCUUGUGGCUGGAAAAAUUAACUUUUUUAUAUAACCCAGGACCUACAUGAGACUUGCUUACUGGACAAUCUGAUAGAGCCAUUUUCUCAAGUGAGGUUUCCUUUUCCCAGAGGACUCUAAUUUGUGUCAAGUUGAACAAAAUGACAAUAGCAAACAAUAAUCAAAACAAUAACAACAACAACAACAAAAACCUAACCACUCAUUUAAAUCAUUUUUGGGUUGCAUCCAUGAUUAUUUGCAUCACUAGAAUUUGUGUGGAAAAUUAAAUAGCUGCUUUUCUUCCCUUCUCCUCAGCCUGUUGAAGAACUGAGUCAGAUCUUGCUAGAGUCAACUCUUCCCUGGAUGUGACUCUGGGGGUCACAGGAGCCACAUUUGUUUUUGUGUGGGGUAAUUUACCAUAAAUAUCCUAUAUUGCAGUAUUUGAACAUGUGUCAGGCGAUAAUAUGUUUCCCCAAUACAAAUGAAUGUGAAAUACAAAAAUAUACCUUGAAAUUGUUAAAAAUCCUUCCAAGGAGUGACUUUUUCCCGUGAUAGAACAUUGAUCGUUCAAGCUGAGUGGCAACCUUUUAAUAUCAGCAGUCUUUCAGAGCUUUUGAAAUGUCACCACCAAAAUUAAUAUAAAUAUCUCAGGUGGGUAAAGGAGACACGGCUUGGACAGAUCCUCUCUUGGAAAGCAAGAAACAGGGGACCCACGUGGGCAUCAACCUCCCUUCCCUUCCAUUUUUUUUCUCUGUGUUCUAUAAAAGACCUCUUCUCCUACAGAGUCGUUACCCCCACUCUGCAAAAUAGCUCGAAGAGCUAGAAAGAAAUUGGAUUGGAAUUGGGAUUCUGAGAAGAAAGGAUGAAGCUUAUAUGAAGGAAACAAACAAGUAAUAUGAUAAACUCAACUGUAUUUACAAGGGCGAGUUCAGAUAAAUCUGAGCAUCUGACGUCACUGUCUAUAUGAGCAUGCGCAUGCCUGGAGGCACGUGCAUGCGUGCAUGCGUGCGGGUAGGUGGUGUGUACAUGGAGGAGUCAUCUCUCUACCUCCUCCCUCCUGUCUCCCCUGCCUCCUCGUACUUCCCCUGCAUCCUCCUUCCACUUCCUGUCUCUGUCUCUGCCUCUGCCUAAAUUGCUGGUUUUAAAGGCAUGACCACAGUGUUCAAUUUCAUUAAAAUAUUAUGAAACUUGAAAAUGUGUGUGUGUGUGUGUGUGUGUAUUUCAUGCUUUAUUCAUCUUAUUUAUGUGACUGAUAAAUAUCCACAGAAGAUAAACCAGAAAUAUUGUAAUUUGCCACUGUUUCUAUGUACUUGGAUUAUAUGUGACUGAUCAUGCCUAUUUAUACACAUCUAUAUGCAUCUAUAUCAACAUUGGUGUGUGUAUGCAUAUUUGAAUAUAUUGUAUCGUGUUCUUCUACAUUUGUACUUCCUUUCCAUAUUCACCGAGAACUUACUGUGUUCAAGACACCACUGUGGAUUGAAAGAAAAGACUCGAAGGACAGAAAGGGGGGGGAGUUAAAAACACUUAAAUGAGACUCUAUUCAAAUCCAAAAUAAGAACUUUAAUUAUAAAUAAUGGAAAUGGUGGUGAUUAAAAAACCUAAGUUGGGCUGUGGUGCCCUAAGCAGUAGAGUAAAAUAUAACUCCUUAGGUAGGAACAGCUUGACCUUCGCCACGGUCAACUUGCUCCUUGAACUUAUGAUUCCUUAACUCAAAAUAGAGAUGAGAUUAAGCCAUGUGAUCUUCAGAUUCUUCAAGCUCCAACAUUAGGGGAAAGUAUAGGCCAUAAGUUUGAUUUAAAGUGGAAGCUGAAAGCUCAUUCUUCACCUGGAAUGGCUUCUUGGGUGAACAUCGGGGCCAGCGAACCUGAAUCCCAUCUCCUUGUCCCUUCCUGGAUUCUAAACUGAUGGAGGCAAUGGCUAAGAGUGAAACGGGGCUGAGGAGUUAGGACUCACAGACAGGACUUUGUCUAAAGACUUGACAGAAUUGCUUCUGCAAACCUCAAAUCUGCAAACAUCAGCAAAGGCAAAGACUGAACGAAAGAGUGAGGAGACUAAGAAGAAGUUCAGAAAACAACAGAGAAAAAGGUGUGGAUCUUUUCUUGCCCAAACUUUUAAUAAAAUUAAAUAUAUAUAU